CGGGGUGUAGCGCAGCCUGGUAGCGCAUCUGCUUUGGGAGCAGGAAGUCGGCGGUUCGAAUCCGUCCACCCCGA
rnacentral:tRNA from 1 species